rnacentral:lncRNA from 1 species
UCCCGUGAUUCCGGAGCCCGAUUCCAGAUCGCAAGGUGUUUUUUUCUUGGACAUCGGGAUGAUGAUACACACUGGAGGGAGAGAGAGGACACAGGAAGAGUUUGAGGCAAUGGCGAAGGAAGCAGGGUUUACAGGGUUCAAGGCCACCUACAUAUCUCUCUAUUCUUGGGUUAUGGAGUUCACAAAGUAGAUAAAAGAAAGAUCUAUGUCAUGUGCUGCUGUAGUAGAGUAGAAGAUAUACAUGCCUUAUGUAUUGCUUUCAGCUCCCUGCUGCCAUAGUAAGCUACCACGAGGUCGAGAGACCUCCGAAUGGACUUUGCUACGCUUUGAAAUCAGACUUUGCGACAGUGCUGUAAUAAGAUUCCAAAAGUUAUAUGUUUAUGAAGGUUUUGCUCGUAUUUGUUGGAAAAAGUUCACAUUUCAAACAGAGAUUUGAAUAGGAUUUAUAAUGUGUAUAUACAUUAGAAAUAUUUUUCUUUAUAUAAUUUUUUAAGUUAUUUUUUAAAAAUAUUUAUUUUGAUUGAAAGUUUUUACGUUUGUUAUUUGUUAAAUAAAGUUGCAUACUAAAUCUCUUCCAGACUCGUCUAAUAUAUUAUUUUUGAGAUAUUUAUAAUAAUUCUUGAUAUUUAUCCCUAAAUAUCUCAAUGCCAAUAACAUAAAAUAUUUUAUUCAUAUCAAUCAUCUUAAAAUUCUUGAUGAGAAAUUUUUUAGUCUUGUACAAGAAACUAAGGUCACAAUUUGGAAGUAAAAUAUUAUCUAUAUACAAGAUCAAUAUAAUAAGCUUGCUCCCACUAAUUUUUAUAUAUAAAUAGUGAUCGACAUCAUUUUUUUUAAGAUUCGAAAAAAGUAAUGAUAUCAAGAAACUUUAUAUACCAUUGUUUGUAUUUCUGAUCAUAAAUAUAUUUUAAAAUUUAUAUAUAAAAUUUUUUUCUCUAUGAAUUGUUUAGUUUAAUCCAUAUAAAUCUUCUCAUCGAGAUUCUUAUUCAAAAGUUACUUUUAUAUCCAUAUGAUAUAAUACAAAAUCAGAAUGAAUUAUUAAUAUUAUGAUGAUUCUUAACAAGUUUAUUUAAAAAAUUAUAAAAAUUAUCUCGUUAUGAUCGAUAUAUUCUUUAUGAGUAAAAUUCUUGGUCACAAGUUUAACUUUUAUAUCGUUUGAUAUUACUCAUUGAAUAAUGUUUAUAGAUAACAAAACAACUUGAUGAGUUUCUUAAAAGCUAUUUUGGUGCAUUGAUCGAAACUUUUUUUUAAUAUAUUAUAUUAUUUUUUAUAAUCGUUACAAUGAGGAACUUUUUAAUUCCUAUUUCACAAUAUGAUUUUUUCAAAUGUACUAUAUAAACUAUAUAAUGAUAGGUCUUAUUUUUCUUUGAGAUCUUCUUAGAACUAUCGAUUGUGAUUAUUUUAUAAGAUCAUUAGCGAUUGAUAUCAACAUCAUAUAGGAGUUCAUCAAUAUUAUUCUAUUAUUCACCCACAUCAAUUCUUUUAGUAAUUUAAUAAACAAUAAUCACUUGAAUAUAAAAUGAUAAAAGAGUAUCAACAUGUAUUUUUUCAAUAUCAAGAUUAAAUUUUAAAAUUUUUAUUUUCACUAAUUUGUUAUUUUUUAAGAAUCUUGUAUUACCAAAUUUAAUUAUCAUCGUACUACGAUAAAGUUAAUAAAAUAAAUAUUCCUAUGAUUUUUUUAGAUAAAUAAUAAAAUAUCUAAAUAUAAUCCUUGAAUCUAAUUAUUUUUCAUAUAAAUUGAAGAUCCUUAUCUGUGUAGGAUAAUUAUAAAUAUAUAAAUAUCUUAGUUUUCGACUAGUCCAUAACAAAAAAAUAUAUAAUGAAAUUGACUUAAUAGAAACUUUAUUCAAGAUAUAAUCAUCCUUGGAGUAUCUACUCAUAUUAAUUCGAGUAUAAAAGAAUAACUCAUAAUACUUAUAACCAUAUCCGUAAGAGUAUGAUUUCGUCUUUCAACAAUCUCAUUUUGUUGUGUUACUUUUGAUAAGAUAUACUAAGCACAAAUACCUCGUUAUUCUAAUAAUCUAACAAAAGACAUAAAAUUAUGAUUCAAUUCAUCAAGACGAUAUCAUAAAACUUAUCAUCCUUGUCAGAUCUGAUAAUUUUAAUUUUUAUCUGAUUAUCUUAUCAUAGAUAUAAAUAUAUAUAAUUUAAUAAAAUUAUAAUUUUAUUUUAAUAUUUAAUUAUAGAACCAUUAUAAACUUCGAUACAGUCUUCUCGGACAAGAGGUUGGGCUGCAGUCAUUGGUGGCCGGCAUGUUGCUUAUGAGUUGGGAGACUAAGAAGAGUAAGAGAGGCGGGGUCGGACUUUAUACUAAGCUACAACUUCAAGUAUAAGGUGACGAACAACACACUGAUCAUCUACGCAUUAAUAUGACAUCGAUAUGACAUACGCAACCCGUAGUUAAAAGAAUUGUGUUUCACGGCCAUGACACUGCUAGCGUGAACUAUUUAUUGAUAUGUUUCUCCCUCAUCCGAUGAUGAUGAUGUUUCUCCCUCCUCCGAGCAUCACACCCAUGAAAAGAUGAUACGAAACAAAUGGUUGGAUGGAAAGAAUGUUUACAUUUGGGAUACCGUUAUAUCAUUGUAAGCAUCAGCUGGAACUGCUUAACGAAACCCACCUGCCGGUCAAUUUGAAUUGGUCGUGUCGGCCGAUUGCCACGAGUUAAGUUUCGAGACAAGAUCGAUCAUGUCGUUCGUACAUUUGAUUAACCUUUGGGUUGCCUGCAAAUACGGCACUGUACGCAGCUUGUGGAUCCAGUCGACGUGAACUCACGCGCAUGCCAUGCCAUGCCAUGUCGUUCCCAUAAUGAAAGAAAAUUUGAAUCAUUAUCCAUCCUUUUCUUCUAAUAUAUAUAAUAACGGAUGGACAUAUUUUUUUCUAGAAUUGUAAUAUACUAGUAGGCAUGUGACCAGCGAUGUUUCCAAAAAUAUAAAAAAUAAAAAAUAAAAAAGAGAGCUAAGAGCCGAUGAUUUGAAGGAAACUUAGCACAAGUAUAAAGGAUAUUCGAACGAUAUGAAUUUUAACGAAGAUCUCGAAGGUAAUAUAAAUCUAUCGAAUAGCCUUCAAUCAACCUCAUGAACAUAUUUAUAGUUUAGAAAUUUAUAUGAUGGAUAUGAUGGGUAGAUAUGAUCGAUCAGUAUUAAUGCAUGGAUAUGAUGGAUAGAUAUGAUCGAUAAGUAUUUACUUUUUUUUAAAUAAAAAAUAAAAUAAAGAUAAAAUUGGAACUUAGAACCUUAUAUAAACUAUGGAUCAGAAUAUUUAUAAAUUAAACUAACUAAUAUAUUCAAAAUAUAUCAAUUAAAAUUUUAAAUUCUUAGUCUUUGAUAAAUAUAUUUGAUACAUCAUCACAGUACUAAUAUAAGAUGUACCGAUCAUAUACUUAUUCCAACAUUGCAUAAAGUAGGACUAGUCAGCGUGUCAUUGCGUGAUAGUAUUGCGACCUCGUAGUCAUGACAUGAUCAAUCCUCCUACUUGUAGUAUACAAAUAUUCUUUUGUUUGUUUUCCUUUUCUAUCUUAUGUCGAAACAAAAUAGUCGCCUAAACUACUACACAUAAAAUAUACAUUCAAAAUAUUUCACUUGACAUUUUAAACCCUUACUAUUUAAUAAAUAUAUCAUACGUGUGACUAGUCAGCAUAUCCACGUUUGACUUCAAUGAGCCUUUUGGUCAUCUCCGUGAUAGUCUGGCGAUCUCGUAGUCAUGAUCAAGCAACGUGAGCAAUCCUCCUACUUGUAGUAUACAAGUAUUCCUUUGUUUUGUUUUCUUUUUCUAUCUUCUGUGAAAACAAAAUAGUUGCCUAAACUGCUACACAUAAAGUAUGCAUUGCAAGAAAAAUAUGACACAAUAAAUCUAGGGCUCUUAAUCUUCUCGCCAAUGGCAUGCAUGCAUCAAGACAUUUGAACUUUGCGUACCUCUACGCUAAGAUAUUCAGUGCUUCGACGCAUAUAAAUCUCAUCCCAACGAUUACUCCCUUAUCAAUUUGAUCCGGGUUUAUAGAGCUCCUCCAUUAUCGCCUCCCUCAUCAUCAUCUCUCUUUGUAAGGAUGGGAUUCACCAAGGGAGUGGUGCAGCAGCUGAGCCCCGAGGAGGAGGAGGAGGCACGCUUGCUCGCCAUGAGGCUUGUGACGGGAUCCUGCCUCCCAAUGAUUCUCAAUGUGGCCAUCGAGCUCGAGCUCCUCGAGAUCAUCGUCAAGGCUGGCCCCGGCGCCAAGCUGAGUCCCGACGACAUCGCCACCCAGCUGCCCACCGAGAACCCACAGGCGGCCGAUAUGGUAGACCGGAUCCUCCGCCUGCUCGCCGCCAACGGCGUCGUCAGUUGCUCUGUGGAAUCCGGCGACGAUGGGCGCCCCUCGUGCAAGUACGGGGCCACGCCUGUCUGCAAGUACCUGACCAAGAACGAGGACGGCGUGUCCAUGGCCGCUUUCUGCUUGAUGGUCCACGACAAGGUCACCAUGGAGAGCUGGUAGUCGACGGAGCCAACAACGUCUACUCUUACUCGUUUCUUCUCGCACUAAAAAGUUGGCCGAAGGAUUAAUCAGCUUAUUGGUUUUGCCUCCACAACGAUCGCAGGUACUACCUGAAGGAUGCGGUGUUGGAGGGGGGCAUCCCAUUCGAGAAGGCCCACGGCAUGACGGCGUUCGAGCACCACGGCGGCGAUCCACGGUUCAACAAGCUGUUCAACGACAGCAUGAGGAACCACUCCACCAUCUUGAUCAAGCAACUGCUGGAGACCUACCGCGGCUUCGACGACGUCAAGGUGCUCGUCGACGUCGGCGGCGGGACCGGCGCCACGCUCCACAUGAUCACCUCCAGGCACCCGCACAUCAAGGGCGUCAACUUCGACCUCCCUCUUGUCAUCGCCAGCGCAACGACCAACCCAGGUUCGCCAUUUAUAUCAGACAUUCGUCACUGUCAUAGUGCCUACCUCUUACAACGAAGCAAAAGAAUUCAUAAACUUGGGAUGCGUUGGCUCCAUGCAGAUGUAGAGCACGUCAGCGGCGACAUGUUUGAGAGCAUUCCGGGUGGAGGAGACGCCAUUUUCAUGAAGAACAUUUAGAUUUUUUCCUUACUCAUUUAAUGUUUGAGGUUUUGGUUAGGCAGCAUGUCGAACUUAUCAAAAAAAUUUGAAGGUUAUUAAUGAAAGAUACCACUCUUCAAAGUACUCGAGACAUAUCAAUCAACCAAAUGAAAAGGGUAAAUCAAGCGGGACAAACAAUCAAAAAGAAUGAAGGAAAAAUAUUUACACUUUAAGAUCGAGGAGAUGGAGUCAAAGAAAAAGCACACAAGGCACAAAUAUCGUCCUCCGCUUCCUCAUAGGGUGGAGACGCGGAGUUAUGCAUCUAUUCGCAACAAGUUUGACAACUCAUUAGUCUUUAUCGACGUUAUUUUGCAGUGGAUUCUUCACGACUGGACUGAUGAGCAGUGCGCGAGAAUACUAAAGAACUGUUGGAAGGCUUUGCCGGAGGAAGGGAAGGUUAUAGUAGUGGAAUACUUGCUUCCCGUGAUUCCGGAGCCCGAUUCCAGAUCGCAAGGUAUUUUUCCCUUGGACAUCGGGAUGAUGAUACACACUGGAGGGAGAGAGAGGACGCAGGAAGAGUUUGAGGCAAUGGCGAAGGAAGCAGGGUUUACAGGGUUCAAGGCCACCUACAUAUCUCUCUAUUCUUGGGUUAUGGAGUUCACAAAGUAGAUAAAAGAAUGAUCUAUGUCAUGUGCUGCUGUAGUAGAGUAGAAGGUAUACAUGCCUUAUGUAUUGCUUUCAGCUCCCUGCUGCUAUAGUAAGCCACCACGAGGUCGAGAGACCUCCGAAUGGACUUUGCUACGCUUUGAAAUCAGACUUUGCGACAGUGCUGUAAUAAGAUUCCAAAAGUUAUAUGUUUAUGAAGGUUUUGCUCGUAUGUUGUUGGAAAAAGUUCACAUUUCAAACAGAGAUUUGAAUAGGAUU